rnacentral:rRNA from 1 species
UGGGGAAUAUUGGACAAUGGGCGCAAGCCUGAUCCAGCCAUGCCGCGUGAGUGAUGAAGGCCUUAGGGUUGUAAAGCUCUUUUAGCAGGGAAGAUAAUGACGGUACCUGCAGAAAAAGCCCCGGCUAACUUCGUGCCAGCAGCCGCGGUAAUACGAAGGGGGCUAGCGUUGCUCGGAAUUACUGGGCGUAAAGCGCACGUAGGCGGACUCUUAAGUCGGUGGUGAAAUCCUGGAGCUCAACUGUAGAACUGCCUUUGAUACUUUUAUUCUUGAGUUCGGGAGAGAGAGACGGAACUCCAGGUAUAGUGGUGAAAUACGUAGAUAUCUGGAAGAACACCAGUUGCGAAGGCGGUCUCUUGGUCCGACACUGACGCUGAGGCGCGAAAGCGUGGGGAGCAAACA